rnacentral:misc_RNA from 1 species
UACGGAGGGAGCUAGCGUUGUUCGGAAUUACUGGGCGUAAAGCGCGCGUAGGCGGCCUAUCAAGUCAGGGGUGAAAGCCCGGGGCUCAACCCCGGAAUUGCCUUUGAAACUAGUAGGCUGGAAUCUUGGAGAGACGAGUGGAAUUCCGAGUGUAGAGGUGAAAUUCGUAGAUAUUCGGAAGAACACCAGUGGCGAGGGCGACUCGCUGGACAAGUAUUGACGCUGAGGUGCGAAAGCGUGGGGGGCAAACAGG